rnacentral:rRNA from 1 species
GGCGCGAAAGCGUGGGGAGCAAACAGGAUUAGAUACCCUGGUAGUCCACGCCCUAAACGAUGUACACUAGUUGUUGGGGUGCUAGUCAUCUCAGUAAUGCAGCUAACGCAUUAAGUGUACCGCCUGGGGAGUACGGUCGCAAGAUUAAAACUCAAAGGAAUAGACGGGGACCCGCACAAGCGGUGGAGCAUGUGGUUUAAUUCGAAGAUACGCGAAGAACCUUACCUGGGCUUGAUAUCCUAAGAACCUUUUAGAGAUAAGAGGGUGCUAGCUUGCUAGAACUUAGAGACAGGUGCUGCACGGCUGUCGUCAGCUCGUGUCGUGAGAUGUUGGGUUAAGUCCCGCAACGAGCGCAACCCACGUAUUUAGUUGCUAACGGUUCGGCCGAGCACUCUAAAUAGACUGCCUUCGUAAGGAGGAGGAAGGUGUGGACGACGUCAAGUCAUCAUGGCCCUUAUGCCCAGGGCGACACACGUGCUACAAUGGCAUAUACAAUGAGACGCAAUACCGCGAGGUGGAGCAAAUCUAUAAAAUAUGUCCCAGUUCGGAUUGUUCUCUGCAACUCGAGAGCAUGAAGCCGGAAUCGCUAGUAAUCGUAGAUCAGCCAUGCUACGGUGAAUACGUUCCCGGGUCUUGUACUCACCGCCCGUCACACCAUGGGAGUUGAUUUCACUCGAAGCCGGAAUACUAAACUAGUUACCGUCCACAGUGGAAUCAGCGACUGGGGUGAAGUCGUAACAAGGUAACCGUAGGAGAACCUGCGGUUGGAUCACCUCCUUUCUA